AUUGAAACACUGGUUCCUAUAUGAUCACCAUAGUUAAGCAAUGCCAAGCCUGGUCAGUACCUAGAUUGGUGACUGCUUGGGAAUACAAGGUGCUGCAAG